rnacentral:lncRNA from 1 species
AGGUGACAGAAUAAGAUCUUUGUCUUAAAUACAGAAUAAAAUCCAAAGUAGAGACUGUUGACUUCCCAUGGUGAAUGUGUACGUGGUUCAUGAAGACAUGGUUUUGCUUCUCAUUGGCUCCGAGAAAUUUUCACAUACUCUAGUCACAUUGUGUGGUCAAAUUCAGCACUCUGCGGACGUGGUUUUCCUUUUCACAGCUGCAUGUAGAUAUUUAUUCAGAUUAAAAUAAUCUUUACUUAUCAUUUAUAGGUACAAAGCUUGAUUCUAUUAGACACUCACUUAAAUGUAAUUACGAUUUAAGGGGCUGUAGUAAAUGUUAUCUUUUUGUUUGACUUACAUGUAACAAAACAUUUCGAGAACAAUGAACCACGCCCUCUUCUCUUGACUCCUUUACUGAAACAUCUAAAAGGAGUGUCAGUCAGUUUGCUCUGUCCGCUAACCAUCAUGUUUUGUCUGAGCCAAGCAGCUCUGCUCCAAAUACAACUGCUAGCUCUGUGCACCGUCCGUGCAGGUAGAGAUCUGUUUUGUUAUGCAUGCUUCUCUUUGGUCUAAAUUGUAUAUAUGUUUUGCAUUAAUUUAUUGUUUUGUUCUAUUGAAGCACAUUAUCCACCUGUGCAAAGGAAUAUGCUGGUGUCCAGAGGAGAUCCUGUCACGUUCAUCUGCAACGAAUCUAAUUCAGAAACAAAACUAAUCCAUUGGACCAAAGGCAGACGUUACUUUUCUUAUUCCAUCAAGGAUAAGCAGAAUUCAUCAACUUUAACCUCAGACAGACUGACAAUAGACAUAAACUCACCUUCAAAGCUGAUGAUUUCAAAUGCUCAGGAUAGUGAUGGAGGACUCUACACAUGUAAAGUAACUAGUGAUGGUAGUAUUUUGACCAUUCAGUGGAAUCUGACAGUGUCUGAGAAACCCAAAGGUAGGUCUGCUCUUGAUCAUUUUAUAACAGUUAUAUCAUAUGUCAAAGCUCUGGUAAAAUGUAACAUGAAGUCAUUUGCAUCUAAUUUAAUACAGAGGACGGGUCAUUUAGUGUUUUACUACAUAUUGUCACACCUUUGAUUGGAGUGUUCCUGUGUUGCAUCGUUUCAGCAGUCUAUCUCUGCAGGUGAGUCACAGUUCUAUUUUUGCAAACUGUUGCCACAAGCCGUAGGUUUUAUUUUUAUUUUUUGCUCAAAAUUGAUAUUCCAAGUCUGCUCAGUGCAAUGCUCAGAUAUGGGUCAAAGAUUUGAGGCAAAAAAAACAAUUAUAAUAAUGAUGAUAAAUGAAAAAAGGGCUAAAAAAAUUGAUUUGAAAAGGAGGAGGAAGUGGAGGGAGCAAAGUGAGAGGUAGAUGGCGACAAAGUCACAGAAGAGACGAGCAAAAGAAAGUGAGAUGAGAAGGAUUUAAAGAUGUAAGCCAGAAGAAAUAGAAUCAGAAAGAAAGUGAUAGUGUAAGAUACAAACAUACACAAAUAACAACACCUUGUCUUUCCUGUUUAUAUAAAACCACCACAAACACCUGCAAAUAAAUGGUUACAGCAAGUUUUUGGUGAUGAUAGUAUGCAUGUACAGUAUUAUUAUACUUCAGUUAGUGAGUAUACUUCCUCCUGUUAAUUACUCAGGUCAAUUUUUAGGUUCACUCAUGCUUUACUCACUUAAGGCCCUGCUAUACUUCUAUUCUUCUGCAUAUUAGCGAGACAUAAUUUGGGCUUCACCUCAUGACAUUAAUCUAAGGGCAUUGUGCCAACAGGAGAUCAUUUAGAGGCUUAAAUGGUUGUUAGGAACUUGAUUUUCCAAGCAGAUUAUCACAACUAUCAAACAAUUUCAGAAUGAUAUUAUUCAUCCUUUACCUGUGCAGAAAAAGCAAGACCAAGACUCAAAUCCAAGACUUCACCUGGAGUAGAACCAUGUCAUUUGUUGAGUAUCAAGUUCAGCCAGAAGGAGAGGUCAGAAGAACUUUGUCACUCAGAUAAAUAUGCCCCAAAUUAUCUCACUGCUUUUCUUUCUUGGAGUUUAAUUCUGCUUUCUGACCUUACAUGUGCCUCCUUGUCAUCCUCAGAGCCAUGUGGUGUUCAGGGUGAAGAAAGCAGCUGAAGACGGCUCAAUUCAGCAUUUGGCCUGAUUAAAGAUGGAUAAGAAAAAAGUGAGAUGUUAGACAGAAAAAGCAGAGGACAAAGAUGAAAAGAAUCCAGCAAAAAAAACUGGCAGAAUUGGUUUUGUACAAAACACUGAGCUAAACAAAAUAAGCAUCCUUGGUUCUUAAAAAUUAAAGAAUAAGAUUUUUCUGUUUGCUUUUGACUCUUACUGAAGUGCCUUGCAACUGUAAUGUAUUUUACCCCCUUUUCUAUUUUAAAUUCCAAUACUGUAUUUCCAUCCUUAUGAUGAACCUGACUUUUUAUUGCCCUCUGUGUCUUUUUCUCGUUGCUUUGUGUUGUCAAGUUUAAUCCAUAGCACCUUGAAGUGUCUUUGUAUUUAAAAUAGGCUACAUUGUACAAAUAAAUGUAUCAAUCAAUCAA